GCAGUUUGCCAGUCUGUCGCUCGUCAGCUUUGUCUGAUGUGAGGAAAGUCCGGGCAACACAGAGCACUAUACUUCUUAACGGGAAGCAGGCCGCGAGGUUUGAGUAGCGUAACAGAAAAUAACCGCCAUGCUUCGGCGUGGUAAGGGUGAAAAGGUGAGGUAAAAGCUUACCGGAUCUUUUGGCAACAGAAGAUGCCGUACGCCUUAUAGGUUGUAAGGUCAUGUAUAUCGGCGCACGUAGGAUGGCUCGUCCGAUGCCGAGGGGUAGACCGCUUGAGCCUGUUGGUGACAACAGGAUUAGAUAAAUGGCAGACACUUUAUAUUUCGGUAUAAAGGCCAGAACCCGGCUUAUCGGCAAACUGCAUUU
rnacentral:RNase_P_RNA from 1 species